AUAAUGACAAGUUAUACAAAAGUUGUCGAAGAUAUUAUUCAUGAUAGUUUCUGGCCAUCAUUGUUUUUUGGCAAAUGAAGUGGUCAAUGAUGAAAAUUUGCCUGUCGGGACAUGGCUGAAGGUAUAAAGAAAAUGCAGGUACAUAACUUCAAGUAGCAGAUGGAGCAUUGCAACAAUUACUGUUAAGGGAUGCAAGAAAUACCAGAGAAAACACUUCACCCUUGGAACGAACUCUACCAACAAACUUCUAGGCCAGGGAUACAGUAUCAGACAAACACCAAAUAUUUUUCUUUUUGGCCACAAGUUUAAGAGGAGCAAACCAAGACAACAACUCUACAGUGAAAAAGGACGAGAAGCAAACCUUUGCUGCACAGGAGGUAUUCCUUCUUUCUCCUCAACCCGUUCCUUAAUUCGAUCAAUGGUGUCUGUGGGUUCAAUAUCAAUCUCAAUUUCCUUUCCAGUGAGAGUUUUCACCUUAAUCAUAGUUCCUCCCAUGAGCCUCAAUACCAGGUGAAGUGUUGAUUCUUUCUGGAUAUUGUAAUCAGCCAGAGUCCGACCAUCUUCCAACUG